CCUACGGGGGGCAGCAGUGAGGAAUAUUGGUCAAUGGACGUGAGUCUGAACCAGCCAAGUAGCGUGAAGGAUGACUGCCCUAUGGGUUGUAAACUUCUUUUAUAUGGGAAUAAAAUGUUCCACGUGUGGGAUUUUGUAUGUACCAUAUGAAUAAGGAUCGGCUAACUCCGUGCCAGCAGCCGCGGUAAUACGGAGGAUCCGAGCGUUAUCCGGAUUUAUUGGGUUUAAAGGGAGCGUAGGUGGAUUGUUAAGUCAGUUGUGAAAGUUUGCGGCUCAACCGUAAAAUUGCAGUUGAAACUGGCAGUCUUGAGUACAGUAGAGGUGGGCGGAAUUCGUGGUGUAGCGGUGAAAUGCUUAGAUAUCACGAAGAACUCCGAUUGCGAAGGCAGUUCACUGGACUGCAACUGACACUGAGGCUCGAAAGUGUGGGUAUCAAACAGGAUUAGAUACCCGAGUAGUC
rnacentral:rRNA from 1 species